rnacentral:rRNA from 1 species
GACGAACGCUGGCGGCGUGCUUAACACAUGCAAGUCGAACGGUAAGGCUCCAGCUUGCUGGGGUACACGAGUGGCGAACGGGUGAGUAACACGUGGGUGACCUGCCCUGCACUUCGGGAUAAGCCUGGGAAACUGGGUCUAAUACCGGAUAGGACCGCACCGUGAGGGGGUGGCGGAAAGUUUUUUCGGUGUGGGAUGGUCCCGCGGCCUAUCAGCUUGUUGGUGGGGUAAUGGCCUACCAAGGCGGCGACGGGUAGCCGGCCUGAGAGGGUGGACGGCCACAUUGGGCCUGAGACACGGCCCAGACUCCUACGGGAGGCAGAAGUGGGGAAUAUUGCACAAUGGGCGGAAGCCUGAUGAAGCGACGCCGCGUGGGGGAUGACGGCCUUCGGGUUGUAAACUCCUUUCACCAACGACGAAGGGUUUCUGACGGUAGAUGGAGAAGAAGCACCGGCUAACUACGUG